rnacentral:rRNA from 1 species
UCGAACGCGAAAGUCCCGCAAGGGAUAAGUAGAGUGGCAAACGGGUGAGUAACACGUGGGUGACCUGCCUUCGAGCGGGGGAUAACGUCCCGAAAGGGACGCUAAUACCGCAUAACAUCCUGCCUUUUAAGAGGUGGAGAUCAAAGCCGGGGACCGCAAGGCCUGGCACUUGAAGAGGGGCCCGCGUCUGAUUAGCUAGUUGGUGGGGUAAUGGCCUACCAAGGCAACGAUCAGUAUCCGGCCUGAGAGGGCGGACGGACACACUGGGACUGAGACACGGCCCAGACUCCUACGGGAGGCAGCAGUGGGGAAUUGUUCGCAAUGGGCGCAAGCCUGACGACGCAACGCCGCGUGGAGGAUGAAGACCUUCGGGUCGUAAACUCCUUUCGAUCGAGACGAAUGUUUUCCGGGUGAACAAUCCGGGAAAGUGACGGUACCGAGAGAAGAAGCCCCGGCUAACUCUGUGCCAGCAGCCGCGGUAAUACAGGGGGGGCAAGCGUUGUUCGGAAUUACUGGGCGUAAAGGGCUCGUAGGUGGCCAACUAAGUCAGACGUGAAAUCCCUCAGCUUAACUGGGGAACUGCGUCUGAUACUGGAUGGCUUGAGAUUGGGAGAGGGAUGCGGAAUUCCAGGUGUAGCGGUGAAAUGCGUAGAUAUCUGGAGGAACACCGGUGGCGAAGGCGGCAUCCUGGACCAACACUGACACUGAGGAGCGAAAGCCAGGGG